rnacentral:tmRNA from 1 species
GGGGAUGCCAGGCAUCGAUAAUAAAAUUUUUUUAAGGCAUUCAGAAGCGCGCUUCAAGCCGGCGCUUUAAUCCCGGCUUGAAAACAUAAUAAGUGUCAAAAACUUAUUUAGCAAAGCGACAUUCUCUUGGAGAAUGCCGGCCUUUGCUCCUGUUGCCGCUUAAUAGCCGCAACCAUCCGUCCAACUGAAGUCUAUAGGUUGGUGCCGGGUGUAAUAAUUUAGACUCGGGUAGCCGAUUGCUUUAGUCGGUUAUUUUAAAAAAUUAAAGCUGGCUACGGCCGAUUUUGCUCGGUUUUUACGGCGGUAGCGAGAAAACAAAUCGAUCUAAUCUGUAAACAUGCUUUAAAAAAUUUAUUAGACAGGGGUUCAAUUCCCCUCAUCUCCACAU